rnacentral:lncRNA from 1 species
UUUGCAUAAGUAAUGUACAAAAAUAACAGUAUAUUGUAUACUGCAGAACAUAUACUUUGUACAGUGUGUAGUUAUCAUCAACAAUUUAUUGGAUUGACAGGACUUUCGACAUACACGCGCGAACGCGCGCACACACACACACAACUAUCAACCAAUACACUUUGUUCUACAUCAGAUCAAUUAUACACACACACAUACACAACUUUCUGCAACAUUCAAAGUGUAAUCCAUCGGAUCCAUCCAUACACAUCACGCAUUUAAGCUUUUCACUAACUGUUUAGAGGUUAUAGUACAUUCACGGUUUAAUACAUCAGAUCCAUCCUCGCACACAGACCAGGAUAGCAUCAGAUCCAUCUCUGCACACAUCAGUACAUCACGCUAGCAUCAGAUCUCCAGAGAGAGUGAGGGGGGAUAUUAGACAGUGAGGCCGCCAAACCGAGAUGUUGUGUGCAGCGAGAGGGCGGGGUCCACGGUCGCCGGCAAGAAUAGGAGGGCGGCGGUUCCGCGGUAACCUCGAGAUAUCGAGGCAGCUGCACACGAGAAGGCCGCGCCAGAUCAACGACGGCUGUCACGACGGAGAAACACGGGAG